UACAGAGGUCUCAAGCGUUGUUCGGAUUCAUUGGGCGUAAAGGGUGCGUAGGUGGCGCCGUAAGUCGGGUGUGAAAUUUCGGAGCUUAACUCCGAAACUGCAUUCGAUACUGCGGUGCUUGAGGACUGGAGAGGAGACUGGAAUUCAUGGUGUAGCAGUGAAAUGCGUAGAGAUCAUGAGGAAGACCAGUGACGAAGGCGGGUCUCUGGACAGUUCCUGACACUGAGGCACGAAGGCCAGGGGAGCAAACGGG
rnacentral:rRNA from 1 species